rnacentral:rRNA from 1 species
AAGCGGGGCUAAUAUCGGAUAUGAAACCUGCGGGCAUCCGCGGGUUUGGAAAGUUUUUCGGUUGAAGAUGAUCUCGCGGCCUAUCAGCUUGUUGGUGAGGUAAUGGCUCACCAAGGCGACGACGGGUAGCCGGCCUGAGAGGGCGACCGGCCACACUGGGACUGAGACACGGCCCAGACUCCUACGGGAGGCAGCAGUGGGGAAUAUUGGGCAAUGGAGGAAACUCUGACCCAGCGACGCCGCGUGCGGGAUGAAGGCCUUCGGGUUGUAAACCGCUUUCAGCAGGGAAGAAGCGAAAGUGACGGUACCUGCAGAAGAAGCACCGGCUAACUAUGUGCCAGCAGCCGCGGUAAUACAUAGGGUGCAAGCGUUGUCCGGAAUUAUUGGGCGUAAAGAGCUCGUAGGUGGUUCGUCACGUCGGAUGUGAAACUCUGGGGCUUAACCCCAGACCUGCAUUCGAUACGGGCGAGCUUGAGUAUGGUAGGGGAGUCUGGAAUUCCUGGUGUAGCGGUGGAAUGCGCAGAUAUCAUGAGGAACACCAAAUGGCGAAGGCAGGACUCUGGGCCAUUACUGACACUGAGGAGCGAAAGCGUGGGGAGCGAACA